UCUUCGGACUGAGUACAGCGGCGGACGGGUGAGUAAUGCGCAGGAUCUACCUGUAGUGGGGGAUACGUCGGGGAAACUCGAACUAAUACCGCAUACGCCCGUACGGGGAAAGCGGGGGACCUUCGGGCCUCGCGCUAUCAGAUGAGCCUGCGUAGGAUUAGCUUGUUGGUGAGGUAAAGGCUCACCAAGGCGACGAUCCUUAGCUGGUCUGAGAGGAUGAUCAGCCACACUGGAACUGAGACACGGUCCAGACUCCUACGGGAGGCAGCAGUGGGGAAUAUUGCGCAAUGGGCGAAAGCCUGACGCAGCCAUGCCGCAUGUGUGAAGAAGGCCCUUGGGUUGUAAAGCACUUUCAAUUGGGAAGAAAGGUUGCGUGUUAAUAGCACGUAGCUGUGACGUUACCUUUAGAAGAAGCACCGGCUAACUCCGUG
rnacentral:rRNA from 1 species